AUCCAGUAUACGAGUCCCGAAUAAGACGAAACGCGCGUCGUGGAU
rnacentral:hammerhead_ribozyme from 1 species